AACGAACGCUGGCGGCAUGCCUAACACAUGCAAGUCGAACGAGACCUUCGGGUCUAGUGGCGCACGGGUGCGUAACGCGUGGGAACCUGCCCUUAGGUUCGGAAUAACUCCCCGAAAGGGGUGCUAAUACCGGAUAAUGUCUUCGGCCCAAAGAUUUAUCGCCUUUGGAUGGGCCCGCGUUGGAUUAGCUUGUUGGUAGGGUAAAAGCCUAACAAGGCGACGAUUCAUAGCUGGUCUGAGAGGAUGAUCAGCCACACUGGGACUGAGACGCGGCCCGGACUCCUACGGGAGGCAGCAGUGGGGAAUAUUGGACAAUGGGCGAAAGCCUGAUCCAGCAAUGCCGCGUGAGUGAUGAAGGCCUUAGGGUUGUAAAGCUCUUUUAACCGGGAUGAUAAUGACAGUACCGGGAGAAAAAGCUCCGGCUAACUCCGUG
rnacentral:rRNA from 1 species